GAUGAACGCUGGCGGCGUGCCUAAUACAUGCAAGUCGAGCGAACGGACGAGAAGCUUGCUUCUCUGAUGUUAGCGGCGGACGGGUGAGUAACACGUGGAUAACCUACCUAUAAGACUGGGAUAACUUCGGGAAACCGGAGCUAAUACCGGAUGAUAUUUUGAACCGCAUGGUUCAAAAGUGAAAGACGGUCUUGCUGUCACUUAUAGAUGGAUCCGCGCUGCAUUAGUUAGUUGGUAAGGUAACGGCUUACCAAGGCAACGAUGCAUAGCCGACCUGAGAGGGUGAUCGGCCACACUGGAACUGAGACACGGUCCAGACUCCUACGGGAGGCAGCAGUAGGGAAUCUUCCGCGAUGGGCGAAAGCCUGACGGAGCAACGCCGCGUGAGUGAUGAAGGUCUUCGGAUCGUAAAACUCUGUUAUUGGGGAAGAACAUAUGUGUAAGUAACUGUGCACAUCUUGACGGUACCUAAUCAGAAAGCCACGGCUAACUACGUG
rnacentral:rRNA from 1 species